GACGGUGUGGUGUAGUGGUUUUAGUGUUGGACUACGACUCUGGAGACCAGGGUUUGAUUCCCAGCUUGGCUA